UCCGAUUUAGCUCAUCGAGUAGAGCAUUCGACUGUUAAUCGAAAGGAAACCGGUGCAAUUCCGGUAAUCGAAACCA
rnacentral:tRNA from 1 species